rnacentral:rRNA from 1 species
GAUGAACGCUGGCGGCGUGCCUAAUACAUGCAAGUCGAGCGAACAGACGAGGAGCUUGCUCCUCUGACGUUAGCGGCGGACGGGUGAGUAACACGUGGAUAACCUACCUAUAAGACUGGGAUAACUUCGGGGAACCGGAGCUAAUACCGGAUAAUAUAUUGAACCGCAUGGUUCAAUAGUGAAAGACGGUUUUGCUGUCACUUAUAGAUGGAUCCGCGCCGCAUUAGCUAGUUGGUAAGGUAACGGCUUACCAAGGCAACGAUGCGUAGCCGACCUGAGAGGGUGAUCGGCCACACUGGAACUGAGACACGGUCCAGACUCCUACGGGAGGCAGCAGUAGGGAAUCUUCCGCAAUGGGCGAAAGCCUGACGGAGCAACGCCGCGUGAGUGAUGAAGGUCUUCGGAUCGUGAAACUCUGUUAUUAGGGAAGAACAAAUGUGUAAGUAACUAUGCACGUCUUGACGGUACCUAAUCAGAAAGCCACGGCUAACUACGUG